rnacentral:rRNA from 1 species
UUUGAGAGUUUGAUCCUGGCUCAGGAUGAACGCUGGCGGCGUGCCUUAGAUAUGCAAGUCAAGGGGGUCCGAUGCAAAUCGGACAACCGGCGGACGGGUGAGUAAUGCGUGGGAAUCUACCUGGAAAUGGGAUAUAGCUUGCCGAAAGGUGAGGUAAUCUCCCAUGUGACAGGUACAGUAUUGUACCUGUUAAAGACGUAAGUCGUUUUCAGAUGAGCCCGCGUCCUAUCAGCUUGUUGGUGGGGUAAUAGCCUACCAAGGCAACGACAGGUAGCUGGUCUGAGAGGAUGGUCAGCCACAACGGCACUGAGACACGGGCCGUACACCUACGGGUGGCGCAGUCGGGAAUUUUAGACAAUGGGCGAAAGCCUGAUCUAGCGACGCCGCGUGGAGGAUUGAAGGCCUUCGGGUUGUAAACUCCUUUUGCAAGGGAAGAUUAUGACGGUACCUUGCGAAUAAGCACCUGCUAACUACGUGCCAGAAGCCUCGGUAAUACGUAGGGUGCAAGCGUUAUCCGGAUUGGUCUGAUGCAUCUUAUCUUAAAGACCACGGCCUAACCGUGGAUUUCGGUAAGAGAUGGUUAGACUAGAGGAAGUAAGAGGGCAUUGGAACCGAUUGUGGAGCAGUGAAAUGCGUUGAUAUGAUUGGGAACACCAAAGGCGUAGGCAGAUGCCUGGGACUUCCCUGACGCUGAGGCACGAAAGCUAGGGUCGCGAAGCAGAUUAGAGACCUGCGUAGUCCUAGCCGUAAACGAUGGAUGCUAGAUAGUCCGACGUACGUCGGACUGUCGCAAGCUAACGCGUUAAGCAUCCCGCCUGGGGAGUACGAGCGCAAGCUUAAAACUCAAAGGAAUUGACGGGGAGGCGCACAAGCAGUGGAGCAUGUGGUUUAAUUCGAAACAAAGCGAAAAACCUCACCAGGGUUUGACAUGUACUUGCAAGUCCCAUGAAAGUGGGAUUCCUUCGAGGGUAGUACACAGAUGCUGCAUGGCUGUCGUCAGCUCGUGGCGUGAGCUGUUUCCUUAAGUGGAUAAACGAGCGCAACCCGCACCGUAUGUUAAAUAAUUCAUGCGGAACAGGUCCGAUUUUCGGACAGGAAGGCGCGGAUGACGUCAAGUCAGCACGGCUCUUACACCCUGGGCUACACACAUCCUACAAUGGCGAACAACAACGAGUUGCAAACCGGUAACGGUAAGCUAACCUCUGAAAUUUCGCCUCAGUUCAGAUUGGGGUCUGCAAUUCGACCCCAUGAAGUCGGAAUUGCUAGUAAUCGCGAAUCAGCAGGUCGCGGUGAAUACGUUCUCGCCUCUUGUACACACCGCCCGUCCCAUGCCCUCAGUAAUGAGUGGAUAAACAUGAACAAGGUAUCCCUAGCCGAAGCUGGGGAUGGAUCACCUCCUU